rnacentral:rRNA from 1 species
UACGUAGGUGGUAAGCGUUGUCCGGAUUUACUGGGCGUAAAGAGCGCGCAGGCGGCCAAGUCAGUCGAAUGUGAAAGCCCCCGGCUCAACUGGGGAGGGUCAUUCGAUACUGCUCGGCUCGAAGACAGGAGAGGGAAGUGGAAUUCCCGGUGUAGUGGUGAAAUGCGUAGAUAUCGGGAGGAACACCAGUGGCGAAGGCGACUUUCUGGCCUGUUCUUGACGCUGAGGCGCGAAAGCUAGGGGAGCAAACGGG